rnacentral:rRNA from 1 species
CUAGUGAUGUAUGAGUUAGUGGCGGACGGGUGAGUAACGCGUGGAGAACCUGCCGUAUACUGGGGGAUAACACUUAGAAAUAGGUGCUAAUACCGCAUAAGCGCACAGCUUCGCAUGAAGCAGUGUGAAAAACUCCGGUGGUAUACGAUGGAUCCGCGUCUGAUUAGCUGGUUGGCGGGGUAACAGCCCACCAAGGCGACGAUCAGUAGCCGGCCUGAGAGGGUGAACGGCCACAUUGGGACUGAGACACGGCCCAAACUCCUACGGGAGGCAGCAGUGGGGAAUAUUGCACAAUGGGGGAAACCCUGAUGCAGCGACGCCGCGUGAGUGAAGAAGUAUUUCGGUAUGUAAAGCUCUAUCAGCAGGGAAGAAAAUGACGGUACCUGACUAAGAAGCCCCGGCUAACUACGUGCCAGCAGCCGCGGUAAUACGUAGGGGGCAAGCGUUAUCCGGAUUUACUGGGUGUAAAGGGAGCGUAGACGGCAGCGCAAGUCUGAAGUGAAAUCCCAUGGCUUAACCAUGGAACUGCUUUGGAAACUGUGCAGCUGGAGUGCAGGAGAGGUAAGCGGAAUUCCUAGUGUAGCGGUGAAAUGCGUAGAUAUUAGGAGGAACACCAGUGGCGAAGGCGGCUUACUGGACUGUAACUGACGUUGAGGCUCGAAAGCGUGGGGAGCAAACAGGAUUAGAUACCCUGGUAGUCCACGCCGUA